rnacentral:rRNA from 1 species
UGCCAGGGUACUACGAAUACAUAUUUAAAACUCAAAGGACUUGGCGGUGCUAUAAUCUAACUAGGGGAACCUGUUCCUUAAUUCGAUGACCCACGAGAAUCUUACCUAUUUUAGUUUAUCAGAUUUAUAUACCGUCGUUUAACUAACCUCUUAAGAGUAAAAAAGUUAGUAAGAAAAGGCCACUUUCCUAAUAAAACAGAUAAAGGUGUAGCUAAUAAAUAAGGGGAAGAAUGUGUUACAAUUAAUAACUUGUUAAUGGACUCAAGAUGAAAUUUCUUGGAAGAAAGAGGACUUAGAAGUAAUUUCUUUGAU